rnacentral:rRNA from 1 species
UACGUAGGGCGCAAGCGUUGUCCGGAAUUAUUGGGCGUAAAGAGCUCGUAGGCGGCUUGUCACGUCGGGUGUGAAAGCCCGGGGCUUAACCCCGGGUCUGCAUUCGAUACGGGGCUAGCUAGAGUGUGGUAGGGGAGAUCGGAAUUCCUGGUGUAGCGGUGAAAUGCGCAGAUAUCAGGAGGAACACCGGUGGCGAAGGCGGGUCUCUGGGCCGAUACUGACGCUGAGGAGCGAAAAGCGUGGGGGAGCGAACAGG